GACGAACGCUGGCGGCGUGCCUAAUACAUGCAAGUCGAACGAGCGGCGGACGGGUGAGUAAUGUCUGGGGAACUGCCUGAUGGAGGGGGAUAACUACUGGAAACGGUAGCUAAUACCGCAUACCAUCGGAUGUGCCCAGAUGGGAUUAGCUAGUAGGUGGGGUGCCGGCUCACCUAGGCGACGAUCCCUAGCUGGUCUGAGAGGAUGACCAGCCACACUGGAACUGAGACACGGUCCAGACUCCUACGUGAGGCAGCAGUGGGGAAUAUUGGACAAUGGGCGAAAGCCUGAUCCAGCCAUGCCGCGUGUGUGAAGAAGGUCUUCGGAUUGUAAAGCACUUUAAGUUGGGAGGCGUUACCAACAGAAUAAGCACCGGCUAACUUCGUGCCAGCAGCCGCGGUAAUUC
rnacentral:rRNA from 1 species